CACAUAGGAUCUUCCUGGACCAGGGCUCGAACCCGUGUCCCCUGCACUGGCAGGUGGAUUCUUAACCACUGUGCCACCAGGGAACUCCCAGAUCCUCUUGCAGAUGAGGGAAUGUCUGAUUUAGAAUCGUUUAGGAAAAACUCCACUCUUGCUCCUGUGUCUCUCCUUAACUUUCAUAUAGAACACUUCACUUCUGAUACUUCCAGUCACCAAAUGUGUGGGGAUUUUCCCCAC